AUUCAAUAUUCUUCGCCAGCACCACAAUUAAUUCAAACAUGUCAAUUCUUCUUCGGUCUUCCUUUUUCAUUGUCCAGCUUUCUCAUGUGUGCGAGGCGAUUGAAAAGACCAUGGCUUAAUUCUUCCUGAGUGCUUAAUAUGCACUAGCCAUGUUCUAGACACUUGGGAUACAGCAGUGCACAAAACAGAUGAAAACUCCUGUCUUUGUGGAGCCUACAUUCUAGUGAAGUGGGGGAGGGAAGACAUAUAAAAGAUGGAUAUGUAAAAUACACAGAAUGUUCGUUGAUGACAAGUGUGAAGGAGAGAAGUAAAGCAGGAAAGGUGAUGGGGUGUGUAUGUGUGGGAUGGAGUAGCAAUUUUAGAUUCAGAAGCUCCUGGACGUUCUGCUUGUUAAUUUCAAGCCUUUGCUCAAAUGUCACAUUCACAGAGAUCCCUGUUAUGAGCCCUCUAUUAAAAAUGAAAAUCAAUCACCUCCUCAUUGCAUACCCCUGACUCUUUUCCCCAUAGCAAUGUCGCUUUUCACAUACGUUAGUAUUUAUUGUGUUUACUGUCUAUCUCCCUCCUCUAGCAUAUAAACUUCCUGCUGGCAGGUGUCGUAGGGUGAGUUCCGUGGGAAAAGUCCCUGAGAUGGGGAUUUAUGUGCAGAAAGCUUAUUAGGAGGUGCUAUUGGGAUCGGCACCCAUAAGGAGAUGAGGGAAGCAGGACUGGGCAGAAAGGGGAGUUGAACUGUGAUGCAGUUGGCACAGAGAGCUCAGCUGAUUGCAAGGGGAGCUCUGAAGCUGAGGUAGUGCCUCAGGGAUGUCCUAAAUUGAAACAAAAGGAGGGGCUGGGACUUUGUACUACCACAUCAGCUAGUCAGUGGACACAGGCUUCCCCCAGGGAAGAGGCAUUAUCUCGGGUGACACAGCUCCUUUUGGCUGAGGGCAAUUCCUGAAACGGGACUCCCUAGCAGCUGGGGGAUGAAUACCUUGGCCCUGAAGGCGGUGGGGUCUGAGUGGGGCACCACAGCAGCAUCCGCUAGAGUGGAGGUCUUUGUCCAUUGCUGUAUCCCUAGCUCCCAGGACAGGGGCAGAAUUAUUGAAUGGAUGGAUGGAUGACUGCAUGAAUGAAUGAAAGUAUUCUUUUCCAGAAAGUUUAGUAUGCAAAAAGAGGAUGUGGCCACUGUUCUCAGCAGUAUGACAAGAGUGCAAAAAUAGGAAACAGGACAUGUGAUCAUAAGAACAUUUAAGGCGAUCCUGCUUUGUAAAAAAUAAACAUGGCAAGUGGGAGAGAACGGGGGCAGGGCUGUCCAAGGAAGUGGCAAGGUUGGUUAUUGCAUCAGAUACAUUUAUGUUACAGGGAGUUCCCAAGCCAAUCCAGAGGUCCUGAGCAGCUGUUGGCCCAGGGUCUGUUGGUCUGUACUGAGCUGGGCCUUGGGUUAGCGAAAGCAUCCUGCAACACAAGCAACAAUUGCCUCCUGUGACAGAACUUUUAACAAGCCUUUUCUCAACAUCUGUUGCCUUCAAGCAGGCCAGGGAAUUCUUUGCAAGGCAGCAGAGCUAUAAAUCAGCAAGUCCUGCUCGCGGGCAUCCCAGGGUCUUGGAGGAAAAGACUGAACACAAAGCACCUCUUCGAAGCCUUUGGGGACACUGAUUAAGUCAAUUGGUACUCACAAGACAAACCCACCGACAGGUUCUCUCUGAUUUGCCAGGGACCAGGCCAACAGAGUUCUGAAGCAGCUGAUCACCCCAAGUCCAAGGAGGUACUCAGUGUAUGAAUGAACGAACAGAUAUUGGGUUUAAGAAGAGAUCGAGGAGAUAAGAUGAACCCCAAUCUUCUGGAUGCUGAGUCAAUUGCUGUGGGACAACCACAUUCUCAAAUAAAGGCAGAUCCUGUGUUGCUGAUGCCGUAGCUGUCUUUGCAUGCAACAUUUCCCUUCGUCUUUCGAAUCCUGGACCACAAGCCUUGAAUGUGCUGUUCCUGCCUCAUUAGGGGAACUCCUGUCUCAGCUCAGUCACCUGGAGCCCGAUCCUACAGAACACGUACCGGCUUUUCCUAGUGUUACCCCUGCCCAGAAGUGUUUCUGAACCUUGAAAAACAACAAAAAAAAAACAACUCUUUUCCUAUUUGAUAUACAUAAAAUCUCAUGCCUGCCCACCCAACCCAAGAUUCUGAUGUGACCUAUCCAGGGAGAUGAGACCCCCUUCCCAGGUGCCACCUUUUGAAGAUUCACUGGUACACAUUCCCUCCAGCAGAGGUUAACUUGCAAACUUUAUUUUCUUUGUUUGUAUUAUGAGAACAGUGAAUUUAUCUUAGUCUCCAAAUGAUGAAAUUCUAUUAUAACGUAAAAUAAGUUUUCUCACAGUAUACAUACUCUUCUGGAAAUUAGGAUAUGCAUCCCUGGGAACUUUCCUUCCCUCUAUUUGAAAAUCAAUGCUAUAAAAUGUUAGAGCAACAAAAGAGACAUGGUGGAAGCCACUCAAAGAAAAACAACUUUACGAGAUACAGAGAGAAACAGAGGAGGGUCCCAUUAUAAAACUGCAUCUUCAGAUGCUUUUCAGGCUAAACGUUCUCAGAAAUGGGUGUACGCUUUGUCUCAACAUGGACGUCCUGCCCAUUAUGCUUGAAAUAGGACAGCUCUGUGUGCCAUGCUGUAUGUUUCCCACCUGAAAAUGUUUCACCCCAGCCUCUGGAAAAGCUAUUUUAUAAGUUUCUUGCUUCCCCUGCAAUGAGUUCAUUAUGGUGCUUUCUACCACCACCUGGCCACUUUUAUCAUUCGCCAUUAGUAGGACCUUGAGAAACGAUGGGAAAACCCUGCAGUGCGGAGAGCUCAGCUGUGGGCAGCUAUAUGAACUUAGUCUGCCAUACUGUCAGUUUGCUGCACUGUGGGGGCUUGCAUGCUGCUGGAAGCUAUGCCACCCGAAUUUCAAAUACCAGCAGGGUUACCCAUGGGCAACCAGUUUCAGUGGAGCUUCCAGACUAAGACAGACUAGGAUGAAAGGCCUGGUGAUCUAUUUCUGAAAACUAGCCAAUGAAACCCGAUGGAUCACAACAGAAUAUCGUCCAAAAUAGCGCUGAAAGACGAGCCCCCUAGGUUGGAAGGCACUCAAGAUACACGGUGGCUGCAACAGUGGACUCAGGCAUACCAACGACCAUGAAGAUGGCACAGGACUGGGCAACAUUUAAUUCUGUUGUCCACGGGGUCACCAUGAGUCAAUUUGACGGCAACUUUUUUUUAACAGCAACAUAUGAAUUCAGAGCUUCCAACCAAGAAUAGGAAUGGGCAUGUGUGUAUGUGCAUUUUGCAUAUGGAGUACGGGGCCCGGUGCAAUUCUGCUGAAAAAAUAGAGGUCACAGUUUACAGGCCUCUCCUUUGAUUAUUUUUGUAAUCAAAACUCUCUCUGUGGAGAGAGGACUUAAAAUAACAGGGCAUGUGAACAGACAUGAGAGACACUGAUUGUUCCAGCUCAGAGGGGCAAGGAAGGAACUUCAAUAUGGCAACCCCAUAGACACGUAGUAACUGGAAUUACCCAGGCCUGUCGCCUCUACACGGUUUUGUUCAGCGACUGCCUUGGCCCCUGCGAUGCUCUUUGCCCUGAGUACAGCACCAUUGUACAGUUCAACACAGCUACGACUGGCUCUUCAGAAACCUGUUCACUGCAGUGGCUAAGGUUAUGCCGCCUACGACCGAUUUGAAAGAAAAGAAGAAAAGAAAAGAAAAAAAAAGAUGGUAUUAAUGGCUCCUUUUCACGACCCUAGGAUUCUGUGGAAAAGGAGCAAAAGGCUUAGUUGUUUUUUAAUACCCCAAACCUUGCUAUGUAUCCAGGACAUUAGGGGUUCUAUUCAGAAUUUGAGUUUUAAUUAUUUUAACAACAAAGUAAAAACUGAGUGAAUCACAUGCAUUAAUAUCCUGAAAGCCUUUUCCAGCCUAAUGAUAGCCUACAUUUUCUACGAGGAAAAACAAACGUUUCAAUGAAGCGUCCCAAAUUCUUAGAAGAAGCAGAGAUAAGAAGCUCCUGCCAGUGACUUCAGUGUCACUGGACCCAUUUAGUGGUUUGUGCCUUGGCAGCACUCCCACUGACAGGACAGAAGACUCUUUGGGAAGACAGAGCCGAGUUGAAAGGUGGCAGUGGAGAAGAAAGGCAGACAUGAGUUCUCCCCACCACAGAGCUCUGAAGAACCUCACGAGAGUACACACAGACAACAGAAAAACCCUCAUAAUCUCUACUUCUACCAAUGGUGAAAGCAAGACCCUGGAAAGGACUAUCUGCCCAAGGUUAUAAAAUAGCAAGUGAAGCUCAUGGCAGGGACUCUUGUGGGCCUCCGGAUACACUACCCAUGAUUCCUCUGUGUACGUUUUUUGGCUUAGCUGAGGUGGGAAGGAGAGACAGAGAGGGUUCCUGAAGAUGCUGUGUUACCCCACCACAAUGUCUAAUGGGCACAGAGGAAAGGAUGGCUUUCAAUCACAGACAUUGCCUGGUUCAAAGUAGGCAUUUUAUGAUUAGAAUAAGUGAUCCAGAGGCUCAUUAAGAUAGAGUGUUCUUUCUUGCCCUUGUUUCUUGACAUACAUGCAUAAAAUUUAUAAACAUAGGACUAAAAAGUUUAACUAAAGGAGAAAAAGACCGAUAGCAAGGAAGUCAUGGGAAUAUACAAGUACGUUAUUCAUUGGAGGGUCAGUUGCUGGUGUAAUAUAUGCUAUAAAAUUGAUUUACAAAUUAAUUCUCUAGGAAGAAUAGUAUAAUGGUACUCUAGCAACGAUGGUCACCACAGAUGUAGAAAUGCAGUAAUGAAGGAAGUAGGAAAAAGAGAGUUAGCACUGAGCCCUAGAAGGCUUGCUAAAACGAAGCUUAAUAGGCCCACCCCCAGAGUUUCUGAUUUGGUAGCUCUGGGAUGGAAAUCUGAGAAUCUGCAUUUCUAACCUGUUCUCAGGUGAUGCUGACGCUGCUGGUCUAUCUGGGAACCACAUGCUGGAAACCAGGGUGUUAGAGAAAGCCUGAGGCAUCGCAGGCAGGUGAAGGGCGCUCUUGCAGGAAAGCAAGAGAUAUGUGACUGAGUACAAGGGCCAUCAGAUACAAGGGAGUUUACAUUUAAGCAAGGAUUUGGAUGAGAUCAUGGAGAACUGUGAGUGUCAAAGUAUAAAGAUUUGAAUUAACCUUUUCUAAAGCAAUAGACACUAAAUGUUUUUGAUGAGGAGCAUGAUCAAUCACACCUCCUGUGUUUCAGAAAGAUCUCACAUCCUAGGUGUCUUUGGAAACAGAAGAAUUUUCUAGGUAGGAAUCUGUGAUUAUCCCAUGUAAUUUCAUGAUAAAGUAAGCUAAAUGAAACAGAGAGAGUAAGUGAAAAUGUUACAAAGGACACUUAAAUCAUUUUUUUAAAAUAAACUCUAGUACUAUCAUCUAGCAAUAAAUAACGAUAAUAAUAAAUAUUGCCGUUGAGUAGAUUCCUACUCACGGUGACUCCAGGUGACAGAGUAGAAAUGCCCAAAGGGGUUUUCUUGGCUGUAAUCUUUACAGAACCAGAUCACCAGGUCCUUCUUCCAAGGCCCCAUUGGGUGGGUCCAAACUACCAAUCUUUAGGUCGGUAAUCAAAAACCAAACUCAUUGCCAUCAAGUCAAUUCUGACUCAUAGGAAACCUAUAAGACAGAGUAGAACUGCCCCGUAGGGUCUCCAAGGACUACUGGUGGUUUUGAACUGCUGACCUUUUCGUUAGUAGCCAAUCUCUUAACCACUUGCCACCAGGGCUCCUUUAGGUUAGUAGUAGAGCACAAACUGCACCACCCAGUGUCUGCUCAACAAUAUACUACUGAUUUAUUAUCAAAAUAUUUUAUGUACAUAUACAUGUUUUUAUAAAAAUUUUUGAAAAUACAAAAAAGGAGAGAAAACAAUAUUCCCACCAGUUUAAGAAAAUCAUAACUCUUUAGUGUAUUAUUUCCUUUUCUUUUUUUAUGUGCAAGAGUUUUUCACUUUCUAACUUUGUGACCAUGCUACGUAUAAAUUUUUUUCCCACUUUUUAAAAAAUAUUUACUUAAGUCAUUGUAAACUUUUUCCAAGCACAAUAGUUGCAUAAAAGUAUGCUAUAGGGAACACUGAUGUUUGCCAAUCAAAUAGUCAUAUCCAGCUUUGUCCUUGCUGGCUGAAUUCCAGUGUUUUUAUGCCUACUCCUUCCUUAUUUGACACAGAUAAGUUGUGAUUAAGACAAUCAUGGUUGUUCCCCUUGCCAGCAAUUGAUUUAAUGGUUUUCUAUUGCUUCAGAAAAUGUCAAAAUUUUUUUAUUUGGACAUUUGGAGUUCUCCUGUAAUAAGCUGAAUAAUAGCCCCUAAAGAUAUCAAGGAGGAGCCCUGGUGGCGCAGUGGUUAAGCACUCAGCUGUGAACUGAAAGGUUGGCAGUUCAAACCCACCAGCUGCUCCACGGGAGAAAGAUAUGGCAGUCUGCUUCCAUACAGAUUUACAGCCUUGGAAAUCCUAUGGGACAGUUUUACUCUGUCCUUUAGGGUCCCUAUGAGUCAGAAUCAACUCAAUGGUAAUGGGUAAAGACAUUAAGUCCUAAUUCCUAAAACCUGUAAAUGUUACCUUAUUUGGAAAAAGAGUCUUUGUGGGUGUGACUAAGUUAAGGAUUUUAAGAUGGGGAGAUUAUCCUGGAUUAUCUGGGUGAACCGGAAAUGCUAUCAUAAGUGUCCUCAUAAGAGAGGAUUUGACACAGACACACAGAGAAGAAGGCUCUGUGAAGACGGAGCAGAGAGAGUUCAAGAUGCUCACCUCGAAGAUCUGAGUGAUGAGGCCACAAGCCAAAGAAUACGAGCAGCCACCAGAAGCGGGAAGAGGCAAGAACCUUUAGACAGAGGUCAGUCCUGCUGACACCUUGAUUUAGGUCCAGUGGUACUGAUUUCAGACUUCUGGCCUCCAGAACUGUGAGAGAACAAAUUUCUGUUGUUUUAAGCCACCCUAUUUGUGAUAAUUUGUUACAGCAGCCACAGGAAACAAAUAUAAUAAUGUAGUCCACAUCUUCCUUUAAAUGUUAUGACCCAGUUCUGGUCAGUGAGGGUCUACUGGGAAGGAGGAAGCUUCUUGCAAAGAUUAUAUUGCUUUUAAAAUGAAAGGCAUGGGAGGAAAGAAAUAGACUUAUUUCUUCUGAUGGGUGUGGUUGCAUCUCCAUGUAGCAUGAGAAGCGUCACAACCAUAUUGUGACUAUAAGGCGUACCAGCCUAAGAAUAAGCCAAUGACUCAAGGAUGGGGCAGUGGAAAGAUAGAAAAAGACUUGGGCCUUUGAUGAUAUUAUUGAGCUGAUGAAUUAACAAGCCCUGGAGACUCCUUAUUAUAAGUCUCUGGGAUAUAUCUGAGAUAAUAACUUUUCCACCCUUUUUAGGCUAUCUUUACUUGGGUUUUCCCUUAGUCAUAGCCAAAAGCUACAUACCAGAUGCGUGUAUCAAAUGGAUUAUACCAUAAUUUGGGGGCUGGCAAACCAUGAGCCUGCCUACAGGGCCUGUUUUUGUAUGUAAAGUUUUAUUGGAACACAGCCUUGCCCAUUCUUUUGUGUAUUGCCUAUGGCUGAUUUUACACUACAACAGCAAAGUUGAGUAGUUGGGACAGAGACCAUAUGACUCGCAAGUCUAAAAUUAUGCUAUCUGGCCCUUUAAGAAAAAGUUGGCAAAUCCAUGCCAGUUGAACACAGUCAUUCUUUUAUUUUUGGGUAUUAUUAUUGUUCUAGUUCCUCCAAAGCUAUUGUCUACUUUAAGCAAGUUUUAAGCCUGUCAGUUGGCCAUAUUCCUGCAUUUAAGAGCAAGCGCUAUACAAAGGGAAAGAGCCUAAUAAGAAAAUAAAUAAUGCAAGCAUGGAAAAAAUUCGCAGUCAUCUCCUAGAUCAUUUGGGAUCUUAUCGGAGUCUGCCAAAGGGUUUGGCCAGUGCGUGAGGUUGCAUUUUCCACAUAUGAAUAAUUUAAGGUAAUUACAAAAACUAAUUCCAAAGUGCAGCCCAAUCCAGAAGAAGAACAAGGGGGAAAAAAAAAAAAAAAAAACUCUUCUUCACCUAUUUUAAGUUGAAAUCAGUCAAACUAAACUUCCUCUUGGGCUGAAAGAUGUUGGGGGAACUGACUUCACAGUGAAUAGUAUGACAGCUGAGAGAGAAACGGGCCCCAGAAAGAAGUUUUCAGUAAGCAGGCCUGAAGCAUCCUUCUUCAGAACACUGCAAGGGCUGUGUUGGGGAGAGAACUACUAUUUACUAAAAAAGGCAAGAUCCAAAGUUUGUCAUGUAAAUGGAGCCAACUGUAUAUAUUUAAUUAAUGUUUUGACUUGAGGCCAUAUUCUCUCCCUCUCUUAAAGAAAAAAAAAAUCACAUCUUUUUUAGAAAGUUCCCCGCUGUGCUCCCAAGUUGCCUUCCUUCACAGGGUCUGUGGGCAGGCAGUCCCCCAGUUAAAAUGCGGCUGCACAAAAGCAGGUUGUGGGAGGGAGUCACUGACCAAAUAACCUUUUGAACUUUGUAGGGAAGUCAUGAUACAGUCGCCUCAGCUAAACAUAUCUACUGGCUUCUUUAGAAGCUGCUUAUGACCCUUUCUCUUGGUGCAGAAAGAGCAAGAUGUUUGCAACUCAAACGAGUUUUCUGGGGACUUCCAGGUUGCCCCUGUGCAACACUCAGAUAAACCUGUGAGGUGCGUGAUCUGAACGAUCUUUGAGGCUGAGCCACGCUUUGUUCUUCUGUCAGGAGUCAUCUAGGACUAGCCUGGCAUCCUGGAAAGAGUCCAGAGUAAACAGCCCCCGAAGGCAAGGCUCCAUAAGCCCUAGAAUCUGGAAACACUCAACACAGACACACUCACAAUGCCAAAUGCAGCAAAAACCUCACCUCCAAACCCUCAGGGAAACGACUAGAAAGCCAUUGACUGCAACGUGGCAGGCUCCAGGACAAUCAGAGACAGUUUCAACCUCAUGAAUAUUCAACAAGAAUCAAUAAAAGUGCUUUUGGAAAGCCCCAGUCUGGAAGUUCCAGCCCAUUUCGCAGUCACCUGCUUUCAAAAAUAUCUGAUAUGGGAGGCUUCCAAUUCCUUUCCCCAAAAAAUGCUGGAAGUGUGCUAUGUUUUCCAUAUCAACUGCACAAAACAAUGGCUCCCCCCCACCGCCCGUUUGUGAACUAAGACAGCUAUUAAUAUCUGUGAUUGAGGGAGACUCAUUUUAUUGAAGAUUUGCAACUUCUGAAAUUUCAAAAUAUCAUGGCUAUUCAUAAAUACCAAAAAAAAAAAAAGAAAACCCCAAACCUACUGCCUUCGAGUCAAUUCCAACUCAGAGCGACCCUAUAGGACAGAGCAGAACUGCCUGAUAGAGUUUCCAAGGAGCGCCUGGUGAAUUCAAACUGCUGGCCUCUUGGUUAGCAGCUGUAGCACUUGACCACUACCCCACCAGGGUUUCCAAAUUCAUGAAUAAGUAAAGUAAAUGAAUUUUUCCAUUUAAGAAGUCGGGAAAGAACAGUUACAACUUGAGCACCUUUCCUUUUAGAACUUCAAAGGGUUUUGAUACAUUUACAUUACUUUAAUUUUAAUAGACAGUCCUGUAAAAUGAGUACCGAUAUAGCAACUGUGCUCAGGGGGAUUAAAUGGCUGAUCAAGGUUGUAUUUUUUUUUUUUUUUGCUAACGAUGUUUAUUUUCUUUAUUAAAGUAAUCUAUGACACUAAAUAUCUGCAAAAUAUAGAAAAAUUUAGAAAAUAAUUCAUUGUCUCAUACCUUUAAAAAAUUAAAAAAAAAAAAAAUCACCAAACAAGGAAAAUAGCAUCAUCUGACAGGUAAAAGCAGGUUUUACUUUCAGAUUUACAUAACUAGCUGGGUGGCUUCAGGAAAGUAACCUGGCCCUUUAAGCCUCGUUUUCUCAUCUGUAAAAUGGGCACAAUAACAUCUACCAUGUAGGAUUGUAUGAGAAUUAAAGAAAAUAUACCAAAAAAUAAAGUUGCUAUCAAGUCUUAUCUGACUCGUGAUGACCAUAUGUGUAAAAUGAACAGAACGGGGCUCCAUAGGAUUCUCAAUGGC